rnacentral:rRNA from 1 species
CCUACGGGAGGCUGCAGUGGGGAAUAUUGGACAAUGGGCGAAAGCCUGAUCCAGCCAUGCCGCGUGUGUGAAGAAGGCCUUCGGGUUGUAAAGCACUUUCAGUGGGGAAGAAAGCCUUGGGGCUAAUACCCUCGAGGAAGGACAUCACCCACAGAAGAAGCACCGGCUAACUCCGUGCCAGCAGCCGCGGUAAUACGGAGGGUGCGAGCGUUAAUCGGAAUUACUGGGCGUAAAGCGCGCGUAGGCGGUCUGAUAAGCCGGUUGUGAAAGCCCCGGGCUCAACCUGGGAACGGCAUCCGGAACUGUCAGGCUAGAGUGCAGGAGAGGAAGGUAGAAUUCCCGGUGUAGCGGUGAAAUGCGUAGAGAUCGGGAGGAAUACCAGUGGCGAAGGCGGCCUUCUGGACUGACACUGACGCUGAGGUGCGAAAGCGUGGGUAGCAAACAGGAUUAGAUACCCUAGUGUC